rnacentral:rRNA from 1 species
UACAGAGGUCUCAAGCGUUGUUCGGAUUCAUUGGGCGUAAAGGGUGCGUAGGCGGCGCGGUAAGUCGGGUGUGAAAGUCUCGGGGCUUAACUCCGAAACUGCAUUCGAUACUGCCGUGCUUGAGGACUGGAGAGGAGACUGGAAUUUACGGUGUAGCGGUGAAAUGCGUAGAUAUCGAUAAGGAAGACCAGUGGCGAAGGCGGG